rnacentral:rRNA from 1 species
UACGGAGGGUGCAAGCGUUAUCCGGAAUCACUGGGCGUAAAGGGCGCGUAGGCGGCCUGUUAAGUCCGAUGUUAAAGACUGGGGCUCAACCCCAGCAUUGCGUUGGAUACUGGCAGGCUAGACGGUUGGAGAGGCGAGUAGAAUUACCAGUGUAGCGGUGGAAUGCGUAGAUACUGGUAGGAACACCCAUUGCGAAGGCAGCUCGCUGGACAACACGUGACACUAAGGCGCGAAAGCGUGGGUAGCAAACAGGAUUAGAUACCCGGGUA